UUAGACAAUGCAAAUUUUGGAAUUUGCAUUGAUGCUGCAAUGUGUUAAUAUUUGGGGAGAUGUUGGGAUAAGGCAAAUGUGUUUUGCAUGUUGGACAGAUGUGAAUCUUUGAGGCCCAGAGGACAGGCUGUGGUAAGCAGAAUAAUGGGCUCCCAAAGAUGCCUACAUCCUAAUUGCCAGAACCUGUUAUAUUACAUGGCAAAGAAGAAUUAAAUUUGCGGGUGGAAUUUGGGUUGCUAAUCAGCUGAUAUCCUGCAUUAUCUCCAUGGGCCCAAUGUAAUUACAGAGUCUUUAUAUGUGGAGGAAGAAGGCAGAAAAGCCUGUGUCAGACUUAUGUGAUGUGAGAAACCCUUGACUGGCCAUUUCUGGCUUUGAAAAUGGAGGAAGGCAUGAGCCAAGGAAUGACAGGAAACUCUAGAAUCUGGAAAAGGAAAGAAAAUUGAUUUUCCCCUGGAGUUUCCUGAAAGGAAUGCAGCUCUGCCCCAUCUUGAUUUAGGCCCAGUGAGAACCAUUUAAAACGUCUGACCUCCAGAACUGUAAGAUGACCAGGGAUGGUAAGAACAAUGUAAUUUGGAGGACAAAGGAAGAACUCAGAUUUCUUGGAUGACUUUACCAGUGAAAUGAGUUCCUGAUUCAUCUGAAAGGGCAAGUGGAAUACCCUAGGUCUAGUGGGGAACAUUAGUGCAGCUCAGCAAUAUUUCCAGUUAUUCUCUGUCUGGGCAUACUGAAGGAUUGCAUGGUGCUACUCCUCUUUGAAGAUGACAGAGGCCACAUGAUUUGCUUUGGCUGAUAAAUAGUGAGUGGAAGAAAUAUGCACCACUUUCAGAUGAAAAUAAUCAAUAACUGUAACUUGGCUUGUCAAACUGCUUUUUAUAUUCUUUCAUGUCAUUCAUGGAGGUGUCAUAAAAUUCACGCAUCCUGGAAAGCUGAGCCAACACAGAAGACAACUGACCUGGAAUGUCAGCCAGGCGUGUGAUGUAUUUUGCACAAGAUAUUUUUAUUGGAUUAAGCCACUGAGAUUUAGGGGCUGCCCGUUAACACAGCAAAGCUCAUCUUAUGCUACCUAUGUCUUCUACACCUGUGAAAUGUCUAUGGUGACUAUUAGAAUGUGUUUGAAUACAGCUGAACUUACUCUACCAAAUAUUAAAUAUUUAAGUGUUCUAAUUAGGUAAAAUUUGGAAAUCUUUGCAUAUCAUGGAUUUUUAUAUCAGCCCAAGUAUUUGAAAUACGUAGAAUAGUAUAUGAACAUGGCAGUAACAUGACAAAUAAGCAUCCCUUAGUAUUUAAAGGGCACUUAUAAAGUCUUUAUUAUCCUGGAAUAUUUAGUUCAAUGAAUACAAUAACAUCACAAGAAAGAAAACAUCAUGAAUAGAUAAAAUGUAGUUAUCCAUUUAUUUCUUAUUUCUGUAUUCACCAGGAAAGUUUUUUCUGUGUGUUCUUUUAUUUGUAAACAGCUACUUGGUAACUAAGAGGCAUUAAAUUAAAGACUAACUUGACUUUGCCAGGUCAUCAAAUUCUGAUCCAUAAUGAACUCUGUGUAUAAAUAAAAAGCAGAUCAUUUUUUUCCAUCAAAGAGGUAGUUCUUUACAUUUCUAAAUCCAAGUCUCUCAAUAUUCACUCUUUGUAGAAUUUUUAUAAGUGUGUAAGGGUAAAUGUACAAAUAGUCAAAGAACUGUAAGAGAGUAUUGUGGAUUGUUUGCCAUUAUGGCUGGAAUUAUUUUGCUUCCUUUACCCAUGCCCCUUUGAAGUGUGACAUUGUAGCUCAUCCCAACAAGAGAAAAGGCCUACUUCCCACCACACGGAUCUAGAGAGUUCUUAUGACUUCUUUGACAAAUAGAAUGUUGCAAGUGACAUUGUGCCAGUUACGAGCCUACAACUCAAGAGACAUGGCAUGUUUCCACUCACUCUCUUGGAACUCUCUUACUAUCAAGUGAUAAAACCUAGGCUAACCUGUUGAGGGAUCAGUAACAUGUGGCCCAGCCACCCUUGUUGCCCCUGCCAUUGCCUACCCAUUCAAUCACUAGACAUGUGAUUGACACCAUCCUAUAAGAACCAGCCUCUGACCAGCUCAUUUGCUAAAUAAAGAUUCAAUAUCAAGGCAUUCAAUAUCAAUCAUGUUUGGCCCAGAGCAGUGCAACUACCAACUCAAGCAUAGAUUCAUGAGCAAUGGCAAAUUGUUAUUGUUUUAAAUCAUUAAGUUUUUUUAAUGCAGAAAUAGAUUCUUGAUACAGACUGUUGAUUUAUUUGGUUAUCUUAUUUUUGUAAUAUUUGGAUCACUAGAAUGACAUGCAACAGUGUGUGAAAAUUAUGGAUAUAAAAAAUAAAAUAUAUGUUCUGGCUGUGUAUAUAAUCAUGAGCAUAACAACUUGGUGAUUGAUGGCCGAAAAACACAUGAUAAUUAAAAUUAGUCUGGUAUACUAUAUAAUAUUAACAAAGAUGCUCAUGUUUAGAAAAAAAGAUCAAAAUAAUAAUUCUUUGAAAAAUUAAAAGUUUAGGAUAUUAUUAGAAAAGAGUAUUUUAUAUAAUCUCAAAUUUUUUUUCAAGAGAGGUUUCUUGUCCAAAUAUUCGCCCCAAAAUACAUGAAAAACAAUAGGACUCUAAGGUAAAACAACAAAUUGUUCUUUAUUUCUCUCCUUGUUAUAUGUAAUUAUCCCUAAGAGAUCAAUAAAGCAUCCACAUGGUAGGAAUGCAUGAGUAGACAGAAGGGCAUUGAAGAAAUAUGGGAGUGAGGACCAGCGUAGAAGGUUAAAGAGAUGUACAAAACUACAAACUUUGGCACUAGUGAUUUACUAAAUAACCUCUAGUUACCUGAAAGAAAAUCUAGCCAAAAAGGACUAUUAAUUACAUCUUUGAAAGGCAACUUAGAAAACACCUCAUUUAACUGUC
rnacentral:lncRNA from 1 species